GGGCAAGUCUGGUGCCAGCAGCCGCGGUAAUUCCAGCUCCAAUAGCGUAUAUUAAAGUUGUUGCGGUUAAAAAGCUCGUAGUUGAAUUUCGGGAUUGACGUGACGGUCAUGCCUUAAGGGGUAUGAACUGUUACUGUUGAUUUCUCACCUUCUGGAGAAACUUGAUGUCCUUUAUUGGGUGUCUUGCGGAUCCAGGACCUUUACCUUGAAAAAAUUAGAGUGUUUAAAGCAGGCAUUUUUGCUCGAAUACAUUAGCAUGGAAUAAUAGAAUAGGACGGCAUGGUUCUAUUUUGUUGGUUUCUAGGAUCACCGUAAUGAUUAAUAGGGAUAGUUGGGGGCAUUAGUAUUCAAUUGUCAGAGGUGAAAUUCUUGGAUUUAUUGAAGACUAACUACUGCGAAAGCAUUUGCCAAGGAUGUUUUCAUUAAUCAAGAACGAAAGUUAGGGGAUCGAAGACGAUCAGAUACCGUCGUAGUCUUAACCAUAAACUAUGCCGACUAGGAAUCAGACGAUGUUAAUUUUUUAAUGACUCGUUCGGCGCCUUACGGGAAAC
rnacentral:rRNA from 1 species